rnacentral:misc_RNA from 1 species
AAGAGACGUUGCCCUCCGGGGUAUACCUCCCACCCUUUGUUUAUUAUACCUUUGUUGCUUUGGCGGGCCCGUCCUCGGACCACCGGCUUCUGCUGGUCAGUGCCCGCCAGAGGACCUAAAACUCUGUUUGUUAAUAUUGUCUGAGUACUAUAUAAUAGUUA